AAUCAACGCUGGCGGCGUGCCUCAGACAUGCAAGUCGAACGCGAAAGUCCCCUUCGGGGGACAAGUAGAGUGGCGCACGGGUGAGUAACACGUAGGUAAUCCACCUUCGGAUGGGGAAUAACAACCGGAAACGGUUGCUAAUACCGCAUAAUGCAGCGGCACCUAAUGGUGACAGUUGUUAAAGCGGGGGAUCGAAAGACCUCGCGUCUGAAGAGGAGCCUGCGGCGGAUUAGCAGUUGGUAAGGUAACGGCUUACCAAGGCGACGAUCCGUAGCCGGCCUGAGAGGGCGGUCGGCCACACUGACACUGACAUACGGGUCAGACUCCUACGGGAGGCAGCAGUCGGGAAUUUGGGCAAUGGGCGAAAGCCUGACCCAGCAACGCCGCGUGAAGGAUGAAAUCCCUCGGGAU
rnacentral:rRNA from 1 species